GAUCAUAUGACCGAGUUGGUCUAAGGCGCCAGAUUAAGGCUCUGGUCCGAAAGGGCGUGGGAUCAAAUCCCACUCUGGUCA
rnacentral:tRNA from 1 species